UACGAAGGGGGCUAGGCGUUGCUCGGAAUCACUGGGCGUAAAGCGCACGUAGGCGGAUUGUUAAGUCAGGGGUGAAAUCCUGGAGCUCAACUCCAGAACUGCCUUUGAUACUGGCGAUCUCGAGUCCGGGAGAGGUGAGUGGAACUGCGAGUGUAGAGGUGAAAUUCGUAGAUAUUCGCAAGAACACCAGUGGCGAAGGCGGCUCACUGGCCCGGUACUGACGCUGAGGUGCGAAAGCGUGGGGAGCAAACAGGG
rnacentral:rRNA from 1 species